AUUGAACGCUGGCGGCAUGCUUUACACAUGCAAGUCGAACGGUAACAGGCCUUCGGGUGCUGACGAGUGGCGAACGGGUGAGUAAUGCAUCGGAACGUGCCCAAUCGUGGGGGAUAACGUAGCGAAAGUUACGCUAAUACCGCAUAAGCCCUGAGGGGGAAAGUGGGGGACCGCAAGGCCUCACGCGAAUGGAGCGGCCGAUGUCAGAUUAGCUAGUUGGUGGGGUAAAGGCCCACCAAGGCGACGAUCUGUAGCGGGUCUGAGAGGAUGAUCCGCCACACUGGGACUGAGACACGGCCCAGACUCCUACGGGAGGCAGCAGUGGGGGAAUUUUGGACAAUGGGCGCAAGCCUGAUCCAGCCAUGCCGCGUGCGGGACGAAGGCCUCGGUUGUAA
rnacentral:rRNA from 1 species